CCGACUUUAGCUCAGUUGGAAGAGCAUCAGACUGUAAUUGGCUGGAAACUCCUAUCUGAGGGUCGUCUGUUCGAACCAGACAAGUCGGA